GACGGGUUGGGAAAGGGAUGUAAGAUGUCGGGCUCCCCCGGCCGAAAAGGGCAGUGGGAUUGAGCGGUGCGAGCCGCACGAUCAUUGACAGUAUGCACAGGUGACUUGUGUGGGCGCCCUGCGGAUGACUUGAAGAGCAUCCGGAGCGCGUCCUGAAUGAAGUAAUUCAGCGGACGCGAGCCUGGAAGCUUCACGAUGUAUCGGUGGCGCAAGCCACCAGCAGAUCCAAGUGAAGAGUUUGAUCCUGGCUCAGAUUGAACGCUGGCGGCAUGCCUAACACAUGCAAGUCGAGCGGCAGCGCGGGGGCAACCCUGGCGGCGAGCGGCGGACGGGUGAGUAAGGCAUCGGAAUCUGCCCUGAUGUGGGGGAUAA
rnacentral:rRNA from 1 species